rnacentral:rRNA from 1 species
UACGUAGGUACGAGCGUUGUCCGGAAUUAUUGGGCGUAAAGAGCUCGUAGGUGGUUGGUCACGUCUGCUGUGGAAACGCAACGCUUAACGUUGCGCGGGCAGUGGGUACGGGCUGACUAGAGUGCAGUAGGGGAGUCUGGAAUUCCUGGUGUAGCGGUGAAAUGCGCAGAUAUCAGGAGGAACACCGGUGGCGAAGGCGGGACUCUGGGCUGUGACUGACACUGAGGAGCGAAAGCAUGGGGAGCGAACAGGAUUAGAUACCCG